AUGACAACGGCAUCGAAUCAGGGAAGGAGAAGGACGGGUCUGCGGGAUGAGGGACACACAAGGGAACCUAUCUCGGGAAAGGAAGGGAGGGAUCCUCCCCCCAAGACCAAUCACUCGACGCCCCUGCCAGAACUUUCUAGAAGCUUGGGAGGGGUGCCGGAGCGAUUGGCAGGGGUCUGGGAGGAGACAAAUAGAGAAAGCAGGGUUAUGAACGCGAAACCAGGAGGGUAUAAACUGGGAUGGUACAGUAACACGAAACCCAAAGGGGAGACCCGGACUGAACCAAACAAGACACACUCCCACACCUCAGGAGGAGCAGGUGUCAGUCUCCUGCCAUGGCUGCCUUUCCUCAUGGUCUGUGCAGCACUGUGUGGCUGUGUUACCUACAUGGAGCUGUGCUGGUUCCUCGCAGUGUGUGUGGCCUCCAGACCCCUCAGCAGGUGCCUCAGCGCCCCUGCCACCUCCUCACCGUUAUCUGGGCGGGAGAUCCCCGAGGGAGCACCUUCUGGAGACAGCCCAUGGAAAGCUCUCUAUGGGAGCCAUCCUGGGAGUCCUGGGAAAGCAGCUCUCUGCUUCUGUUCCUGUACCAGCAAUGGAUACACUGGACUGCAGUUUUGCCAUGCUCUGAACAUUUGCUAUACUGCACUCCAGAUGUGGCUGCCUUUCAUAGACAGAAUGCAGCAGAAACAAGCAGUUGAGCACCUGAUCUCUCUGCCUUCAACUCUUCCCUUUCACAAGGAGCCAUGCAAUAAGUGCUCACGUGUCUUUGAGGAAGCAGCUUUGCAGUGGCACCUCACACCUUUCAAAUUCCAGUCUGGUCUUUCCCAGACAACAGCGACUGCAGGUGGAGAGGCAGCCAGGGAACUCUCACGGUCACCUUUUACUUUUGCGACUCUGCAGACAAACCUUGAGCAGACACAUGAGUUGUGGUAAGCCAGCACUGUACUGCCCAAACUUACUCCCACCUCAGAGAAGAUCCUAGCAGUACAUCAACCCCAAUGCUUCUCCUCCUUGUUGCAAUUUGAGAACUGUGGACAUACACUAAAUUUCUUCCACAGAUUUAUUUUGCCCAAAUGAGGCUGUUUUUACUAGCUGUAUUUUUUACUAAAUUUUUACUAAAUGCCACCAAAAAUUCACAAAGUACUGAAUUUUGGGCCUUGUGGCAAUAGGUGAAAUAUAGAGUAAAUGUAUUGAUUUCAUUGCAUUUUCCCAGAGGAUGCAAAUCAGAAUUAAACCACAGGAAUCAAGAGUUCAGCAUGGGUGUUAUCCAGUUUUUUGGAAUUAAGCUGAGCAAGUUCCAGAUCAGAUACACAGUGGCAUACCUGCUUCUGCACUACGAGCAAAUGCAAAGCCAGCUAUAACCCUACCUUCCACCAAACUCCCCAUCUAUGAGAAGAUGUUUUCCCUAGCAAGGAGGGACAUUGUACAUAAUCUAAUGAUUAUGUAGGAUCUAGGAAACAGGAUUUCUGAUUUCCUCAUCCCGCUGUGCCACUGAUUUACUGCAUGGUCCAAAGGAAAACAUUUUUGCAUUCUUUUUCUCUGUUAAUAUACAUGUGAAAUAAUACUGUGCUUCAUGUAAGAUUUUGUUUUCAAAACAUAAUGUGCCUCAGUACAGUGACUUUGUCUGAGAUAAGAGGCCAUGAUAGGAAGUUACCACUGCCUAUCUCUGUGUGAGGUGAGCUGGUGGAAUCUGGGUGUCUGAGCUGCUGAACACCUGUACCUCAAGCUGAAAUCACUGUAUAAGUCAUGGUGCCAAAUAUACCAGGAAAUAAGGUCACUGAUUUUGUGUGCUGAACUUUGAGGUACAUGCACAGAAGGAAGUAGAAGAGCAGACAGCAUCAUUGUCAACCUUCCCAGGGACAUAAGCAGGUUCCACCUCAGCAAAAUGUUCAGCUGAUGAUGAAAGCUGUAGGAAAGAAUGUUUGUUUCAGUUGGUUCUGGCAAAAAAAGGACACGGUGGGUAGCCGUAUCCCAGCUUUGAGAAUUUAAGUGAGUUGUUCUGCAUCUCCUCCUUGGCUUGGGGACUUUGCAUGGUCACAAGCUGGAUGUGUGGUGUAGCUGAUGGAGGAUUGUACCCGCAGUGCAUGCAAAGUGCAUAAAUGUGGCUGAUCACAAAACCAGGAGUACCUGAAAGAACAGCCACGCAACGGGCCCCAGUCUCAGAUAAUGGGCUUGACAGCGGUACCAACACCCUGCAAAGUCCUGCUCUGGGUGGGAAUCUGUGCACAGCUAGUGAAUCUCCUCGGACAGGCAUGCACCUCGUUCUGGAAGGAUUGUUAGGAUCUCUGCUGAUCCAGACUGCCUAGAAAGCUGGAUUUGAAGGGAUGGGAAACUGCAAAAGUCAGGGCUUUUUGGCUUUUUUUUUUUUUUUUUUUAGGUAGUCUGAUUUGUAACUAUGUAAAUUCAUAUGAUUAUAUUCUGAUGAUCUAAACACUGUGGGUCUGGAACAAAUACUGGAAUUCCUUUCCAAAAUAAAUCCCAACACUGACAGCGUUGAGAGGUCUGAUCCUUCUGCAGUUGUACUGUGUUUGCAUUUUAUGCUUCGUGUGUGUGUGCACAAAUGAGAGUGCCAUUGCUGUGCAGAAAAAUGUGUAAAAACGUGAAUGGGUGCAAGUGCCUGUACAUAAGAACCUGUACAGAAGGUUUUGUGUGUGUGUGUGUGUAUGUUUGUAAGAGAGGACAUAUGCAUGUCUAUGACCUUCUGUUUAUGUGGGAGUAUAUAUGUGUGAGAAUGUAUACAUGUAUGUAAUUUUGUGCUUCUGUGGGGAGAGAGGAAGGGAAAGCAUGGCAAAGUCAUUUGAACCUGUUUGAAGGUCAGGUCUCCCCAAGGUUAUCUGCUUUUUUUCCCUUGAAUCUGUAAAGUAAUGGUAUUCACACUCACUACUUGAGAAGUGUUUCUUUUUAUAGCUCUUCCAGAUGACAAAUAAUGCCUGUUUUUGAAGUCCUUUUUAAGUCAUUGUUCCCUGGAUGCAGAUACCAUGUUUGGGUGCAGGAGGGGAACAGAGCACAGAGCUAUUU
rnacentral:lncRNA from 13 species